GGGCAGAUAGCUCAGUUGGUAGAGCAACGGACUGAAAAUCCGUGUGUCGGCGGUUCAAUUCCGCCUCUGCCCA
rnacentral:tRNA from 1 species